GGCGGGAUAGCUCAGAUGGUUAGAGCACGUGAAUCAUAAUCAUGGGGUCGGGGGUUCAAGUCCCUCUCCCGCUA
rnacentral:tRNA from 1 species